GACAGAGGAUGCAAGCGUUGUCCGGAAUUAUUGGGCGUAAAGAGCUUGUAGGCGGUUUGUCGCGUCUGCCGUGAAAAUCCGAGGCUCAACCUCGGACUUGCAGUGGGUACGGGCAGACUAGAGUGUGGUAGGGGGAGACUGGAAUUCCUGGUGUAGCGGUGGAAUGCGCAGAUAUCAGGAGGAACACCGAUGGCGAAGGCAGGUCUCUGGGCCAUUACUGACACUGAGAAGCGAAAGCAUGGGGAGCGAACAGG
rnacentral:rRNA from 1 species